rnacentral:rRNA from 1 species
GACGUAGGGCGCGAGCGUUGUCCGGAUUUAUUGGGCGUAAAGAGCUCGUAGGCGGCUUGUCGCGUCGACUGUGAAAACCCGCGGCUCAACUGCGGGCCUGCAGUCGAUACGGGCAGACUAGAGUUCGGUAGGGGAGACUGGAAUUCCUGGUGUAGCGGUGAAAUGCGCAGAUAUCAGGAGGAACACCGGUGGCGAAGGCGGGUCUCUGGGCCGAUACUGACGCUGAGGAGCGAAAGCGUGGGGAGCGAACAGG